CACAUACAUAGGCAUACACAAGCACACAUUAAAACAUUAUUGUUGGCUCCCUGUGGUAUGAAUCACGCGCGCGCGCGCGCGCACGCGCACACACACACACACACACACACACACACACACACGCAUGCACAUCCAUUACAGGAAAACCGGAUGAACCUGUCCAGAGUGGCUUUUGUGGCUGGAUGCUUUCUGACUGCGGGGAGCCUUCUAGGCUCUGGAUUGUGCUAGAAUGUGCCUAUUGGAAAAGUGGGCAGGUUGGCCUCGGGAUGCUAAGAGAAAAGUACACCUCUGCACGGAGGGCCAGGGGAGAGCUACGGAGGAACGACUUCCAACUGAGAGAUGGUAAUAUGGGAGUUUUCAUCAGCCCUGCCCUGCACUUCUGCCACCCCACCCCCCAAGCCUGUUUAGCCUGUGGGGCACUGCAUCAGAUGCAAGGUGCAGGACAAAAAGCAUCCUCUUGUUCAGCAGACCGAUGAGCCGUGAAUUGGAACAAUGGAGGAAGGGGGAUGUGGUUUCCCUCAGCCAGAGAUCUUGUUGCCACUCUCCCUGCCACCCUCGACACCCCCUCACAAGAUGUGCCAAUUUUAAUUCUAAUACUGAAGGUAGACACGGAGCAGGCAACUGGCAUCGGUU
rnacentral:lncRNA from 1 species